rnacentral:tRNA from 1 species
AUCAAUAGCUCAGUUGGUUAGAGCAACCGGCUCAUAACCGGUCGGUCCGGGGUUCGAGUCCCUGUUGAUCC